rnacentral:rRNA from 1 species
CCGGCGAACGUCGCGAGAAGUUCCACUUGAAACCUUAUCAUUUAGAGGAAGGAGAAGUCGUAACAAGGUUUCCGUAGGUGAACCUGCGGAAGGAUCAUUGUCGAU